GAUGAACGCUGGCGGCGUGCCUAAUACAUGCAAGUCGAGCGAACGGACCAGAAGCUUGCGUCUCUGAUGUUAGCGGCGGACGGGAGUGUCACACGUGUAUAACCUACCUAUAAGUCUGGUAUAACUUCGGGAAACCGGAGCUUAUACCGUAUAAUCUUUUGAUCCGCAUGGUUCAAAAGUGAAAUACGGUCUUUCUGUCACUUAUAGAUGGAUCCGGGCUGCAUUAGCUAGUUGGUAAGGUAACGGCUUACCAAGGCAACGAUGCAUAGCCGACCGGAGAGAGGGAUCGGCCACCUGGGAACGGAGCCGCGGUCAAGAGUCCUGGGAGAGGCAGCAGUAGGGAAUCGGAGGCAGUAGGCGAAAGCCUGGCGGAGUGACGGGGCGUGAGUGAUGAAGGUGUUGGGAUCGGAAAACUGUGUUAUGAGGGGAGAACAGAUGUGUAAGGAGCUGUGGACAGAUUGACGGUAACGAAUAAGAAAGCAACGGCUAACUACGUG
rnacentral:rRNA from 1 species